UAUGAUAUAGUUAGAGCUGCU
rnacentral:miRNA from 1 species